rnacentral:lncRNA from 1 species
GGAAUGGACAACAAAGAAUUAUUUUUAACUUUAUUAUUUUAAUGAUUACAUUAUGUUUUUUCAAGAAAAUGCGUAGUCUUUAGAGAUGCAAGUUGUCAUGGAUAGGGGUAGAAGAACGUGAUAUCUCCGAUUUGCUUUAAAAUUACAUUAUGGACAAAUCAGUACAAGAAAAAAUUAGAUACUUGAAUCAAAUGUAACCAAAUUUUGAAACAAAUUGAUUCACAGGGAUAAGCAUAUGGGAUUCAUUAUACUGUUCACUCUAAUUUGGGGCUUGACUUCUUUUUCAAACUGAAGUUUAAAACAUGUAUUUAAGUGUAAUCAUUAGAAAACUUUGACAGCUAUCCCCAAGUAGAUAUAAAAUUCAUGCACAUUUGGGACUAGAGAAAAGAAUUUACUAGUAGCAAAGGUGGGAAUGCAAAAAAAUAAAAACAACAGAAAUCGUGUGUGAGAUGUAAGGGUAAUUUUAACCAUUCAGAUAGAUAUUAAAUACCCAGGGAACCAAGCAUUUCCUUAAUAUCAGUUCACAGCUACCUUGUAAAGCCCAAUCAAAGUGAAACAACCCUUGCUUGUGAGAGAAGAACUGGAUAUCUGAGAAAAGGGAGCCACAUGGUACCUGGGAGCAUGUGAAGCCCAGGGAAGAUCAAGAUUUGUCUGAUCAACACAGGAAGGCGACUUUGAGGAAGGAGAAGCUGGUAGUGUUAAAUCACAAACUCACAAUCCUUUGAGCAUGGAGAUAUCACAUAGGCAACGAUACACCAAACUCCCCACCCAAGUACCUUCUUUGUCACCUAACCAGGGAUUAUCACAAAGGCCAGUCCUGAAAUACACAGGUGUUUUGAAAGCAAUGAAAUUACUCAGUCCAAAUGAAUAGCUACACCAUGCUGACAUUGCUCCUCUGGGGUAGGAGCAUGAAUUGUAUGGGCAAACCAAAGAUCUCCAUGGAGCUAUCAGACAUAGCUACAACAGAAGCAGUUUACCUCCCAAGGUAAAUCAACCUGGGCUUCCCAGGUGACUCGCCAUUAAAGAAUCUGCCUGCCAAUGCAGUAGACUCCGAUUCGAUCCCU